rnacentral:lncRNA from 1 species
AGGUGACCAAACUACACUGCUGGUGGCUACUUAUGGCAGUGAGCUAGAAUACCAGUCUGUCCCUAGGGGCUUACCUAUAAAAAAGUAGGAUGUUCUUAGAGGACAGAAGAGAUGUGUCUCCACUGAUGAAAUGGAAUAGUUUUGUUGUUACUGGAUGAAGCUCAUUUCUGCGUUGGUUCAGAACGACACGGAGAUAUGCAGUGAUUCUUUUGGAAAUUACAGCAGCCCCGCUGGAAAUGUAAGAUAAUAUCCAAAAUAAUUAAGAGCUCCUCACACUAUAUUUCCUGCUUGCAUUCUGUCUCCAAGACAUCUUCCAUGGGAGCAAUUCAGCUCUAUGUAUACACUGGGACCAAUUCUGCCCUGCUGAAAAUACGUGGAAUUUCAUGGCUGACUUCGCCAGGAUCAGGAUCAGUCCACAGAGAAAACAUAGCGUGUCGUGUAUGUUUGGACCAUCAACCCCCAAAGCUGACCCUGCACCCUACGCGCAGAACCUCCCGCCUGACCAGCAGAGAUGUGCAGGAUGAGACUCAUCUUGGAACUGUCUGCACUGCCUGGAGCAUGGGGUUGCAUUGCCUUUAUUAUCUUCGCUGCUGUAGUGUGGCUGCAAAUGCUUUUACCGUUGACAAAAAUUAUCUAGCUCCUCAUAAAACUCAACAGAAUCACAUACCUCCAUGGCCUCCUAGUUGGGCAGAUACUCCACACUGUCAGCAGGCCAUAAGUGCCUGA